rnacentral:rRNA from 1 species
GAACGAGAAAGUGGAGCAAUCCAUGAGUAAAGUGGCGACCGGGUGAGUAACACGUGACUAACCUACCCUAGAGUGGGGGAUAACCUCGGGAAACCGGGGCUAAUACCGCAUAACAUCGUGAGGGGGAGAUCCUUGCGAUCAAAGGAGCAAUCCGCUGAAGGAGGGGGUCGCGGCUGAUUAGCCAGUUGGUGAGGUAACGGCUCACCAAAGCAAAGAUCAGUAGCCGGCCUGAGAGGGCGCACGGCCACACUGGAACUGAAACACGGUCCAGACUCCUACGGGAGGCAGCAGUGGGGAAUUUUGCGCAAUGGGGGAAACCCUGACGCAGCAACGCCGCGUGGAGGAUGAAGUCCCUUGGGAUGUAAACUCCUUUCGAUCGGGACGAUUAUGACGGUACCGGAAGAAGAAGCACCGGCUAACUCUGUG